ACAACCUUACUUGAAUAGGAUCUGGUCUAUAGGUUGUACAUCCAUUUCCAUGGACACAAUGGAGACACAACAAAAUAAUCUAGAAGAUGACACAUUGCCACGUGGCCAGAGUGUGAGUAUACUGGACAUGGAUGCCACAGGGCAUCCACCAUCUGCAUAUUAUCGCUCUCAUCAAGCCAAUGGCUGAUGAAAUGGCCAUGUGGCAGUCCGACCGAUC
rnacentral:snoRNA from 1 species